GGGGGGGGCGGGCGGGGGGCCGGGCGCGUGCGAGGCGGGCGGGGACAGGGGAGGGCUUGCUGUUUCGCUGACGAGUGGCGGACGGGGGGGUAAUGUCUGGGAAACUGCCUGAUGGAGGGGGAUACCUACUGGAAACGGUAGCUAAUACCGCAUAACGUCGCAAGACCAACGAGGGGGACCCUCGGGCCUCUUGCCCUCGGAUGUGCCCCGAUGGGCUUAGCUUGUUGGCGGGGUACCGGCUCACCCCGGCGACGAUCCCUAGCUGGUCUGAGAGGAGGACCAGCCACACUGGAACUGAGACACGAUCCAGACUCCUACGGGAGGCAGCAGUGGGGAAUAUUGCACAAUGGGCGCAAGCCUGAUGCAGCCAUGCCGCGUGUAUGAAGAAGGCCUUCGGGUUGUAAAGUACUUUCAGCGGGGAGGAAGGGAGUAAAGUUAAUACCUUUGCUCAUUGACGUUACCCGCAGAAGAAGCACCGGCUAACUCCGUG
rnacentral:rRNA from 1 species